AGUGCAAGUGCUGACCUAUUAUAUCUGUCCUUAAGGAACUUAAAUUAUAUUGGGGAAAACAACAUGUAAAUAACUACAUGUAUGAAAGAAGAAGGCAUUAGAAUUUCCUGGCACCUGAGACUUUACUAAGGUCACACUAUGAAUGUGUGUCAGAGCACCUUGACCACGUCUCGAGGAACUGAUGGAUUUGAAGAACAAUGACAUCACUCCUGUUUGGGAAGAAUAUUUCUCUGAAUAGAUCACCUUCCCUUUGGACUGUUGGAGAAAUUAGAGAAGAGAUCUGUAUGUUUAAGAGAAAACUUAUUAUUCAAUUGGUGGUGUGGCAGCAGAUCAAGGCAGGGUUAUUUUUAGAAUGCUGCUGAGCAAUCAGGACUGGGUGGACCAAGAGCUUUCCUUGAUCAAGCAGCCCUUCAGGAGACUGGGAGAAGUAUGAGAGCUUCAAACUCCCGGAAGAGGGUCAGAAAGUGGGAGAGAGGGAUGGAGAAAGAGGGGUUGAGUGGGGUAAAGUCUCCAAAUUUGAGUUUUCCUGAGUAAUGUGACUUGUGUAAAGUAACAUUUUUUGAGGAAAUACAUUGUAAUUAAAAAAAAAAAAACCUUUAUAAUUCCAUUCAUUUGGCUAUUCCCAGAUCCAUAAUUAG
ensembl:lncRNA